ensembl:lncRNA
CAGCUAGCUAGCUAAGAGGUAGGUGUAGCUAAUAGCUAGGUAGGAUAAUGGCUUUUGGUGAGGGAACACAAGAGUAUUGUUUGUCAGAGACAAAAAGUAUAAAAACAACAACUUCAGAUUCAGUACUUUCAUCAUCCAUAACGUCUUUAUCUUUUCAUCUUCUAACUUUUGAAAAGCACCGUGUCUUUUAUCGUCCGUUAAAAGCCUGAAUGUUCUGACCCAAAUCUAGACCUAUACUGCACUUACUUCAGUUCUUUGAGGCAGGAACUGCAGGCAGCUUAAGACACACACACACACACCUGCACGUUAGCUUAAACCUCUCAGGAGGAUCUUUGUGCUGGAUAGAUCCGGACGAGACGCUCUCAGAGGGACAAUGAAGCCUCUCAUCGGGUCUCCGAGGGAGGCGUCUCAGUUUCUUUACAAUACUGAAUGAAGAAAAGCUGCACCUCUACUGACUCUCCUUCUCUAUUCAGGACUUCGGUGCACUUCAUUGCUUACUUUUAUACCUAAACAGAACGGAGUCUAGAAAUGGGUCUACUUUAUAUUCAGAGUAGAUAUAGGACCCGAAGUGGACCCUAAUUUCCUCCCUAGAGCAAACGAGAAGGUACAUGAGCAUGAACUAGAUCUAGGAGGGGGGAAAGAAAAGAAGAAGAAGAAAAAAAAAAAACACAGGAUCCAGAGCUCCUGCAACAGAAAGGUUCGCCCUAUUGUCCAUGGAUGAUGGAUUUGAAUCUUGGCGAUACCACAGCCAUCAGUGGACGUGCUCUAUUGGUGGGAAGGAUGUACAGACUUUAACACUAGCCAAUCAGGGAUGUGUGUGAGCUCAUGUAUGCAGAAGGGGGUAGAUGGCUCUUUCCUCAGAGUGCGUUACGCCACCCUGGGAUACAGCGUGAACAGCAAUUCGGAGGGGGGGAAAAGAGAAGAAAAAAGAUGGCAAGGUUGGGUUUGGUUGUCUCAGAGGAAGGUGUCGUGGGAUGAGAGAGAAUCGGCUCACUUAGCUAGUGGGUGGAAACCGGUAGGAACAGAAUCGGGCGAAAAUGGGAUAAACCAUCUAGUCUCCUACGAAACGAACUGAAAAACUAGAAAAAUCUUCAACCGUUAAAAUAUAUGUUGAAACCAGGUGAAAAAUAAAUCAUUUGUAAAAUAAUAAGAAUAAAUGUGAUAAAUAAAUAAAUAAAUAAAUAAAAUUUCAACACGGGGCGAAAUUUCAGUCCCACGUAAGAAUCUAGCAAAGACCGCCUCCCAAACCGAAAGUAGAUUUCUUUACUCGAACACACAGCAUGUUAACCUCAGAAGCCCCGUCCCGAGCUGGACUGACCGUUAGAUCUCCGUGGAACGAACCGGCCUUGGCGUUUUCCCCGUUCAUCCUCUACGUUACUACGUCAUGUGGCGGCGUUUCGUCCUUAAAACGUCUUUGAAAACGUGACUUCCCUAAACCCGGCGUGUUCGCUCGUUCCUUCACAGCUCCCGAUUCGAUUCAGAACGCGCGGUCGAAAGGUCAUGCGACUCACAAGAGGGUCUCUGUGAUGGCGGGAGAAACGGGCUUUUCCGUAGAGAUGGUAAACCGAGUAGGGGCAGGGACUUUUACAGAGAGAGCACGGGUGAACGUUAUCCGCUGAGGUUUUACCGUUUAGAAGAAACGCUGAUGAAAGAUUUUACCUCGAGAGUCAAUAAAUAAAUAAAUAAAUAAAUAAAUAAAUAAAUACAAGAACCCCGACUGUACUCGAUCAUAUACAGCCUUCAUGUGUUUGGUGCUUUUUAACUAUUUGUAGUUACAUUUAAUGCUGAGAAACAUCCAUAACAAGUUCAUUCCAGUUUUCGCUUAUGCUAUAGCUGCUAUAAAUGGCUCCACCACCAGCCCCCUCUCGAAGUUAAUAAGACCACGCUGGAAAUAAGACAUCCAUGGUGGAAAACUUGCUGCCUGUUACAAAGCACCGACACUGGAGACUCCUUCCGUAAACGUUAAACACAGCAUAACAUCUCCUCACGGAAAACGCCACCAUAUCAACGAUUCCACGAUGGGGUUUUUUUCCCUAAAAUCUCUAUAUUAUAUUAGCCUCGGCUUACGUCGCGCAUCCACCGUACACGUAACCGUGAACGAGCCGUUACUAUAGAAACGAUAACGUAUUGGAACGAGAGUUGGUCACAAAGUCUAAAUCUGUAACACAGAGAACAAAACGUUUUACACACAAACAAUGAAAUCGCUCUAGAAGUUUCUCGAGCCAAAUAACCGAACGCUGACAUGGCCGCUGAGGCGUCCUGUAGCAUUUCUCCUGUGGUCUCAUGGGAAAUCUGAAGACGCUGUGACAUCGUAUCAUCAUUUUUGCAUAAAAUCGGCACAGCAGGGGUUAUAUUACAAACCUGAAGCAAGAACGUGACCGCCCCCCCCCCCCCCCUCCUUCAAGCGAUUCAGCUGAUGUACAGCACCAUCGCUUUCGCACGAACACCCCGAUUCACUCUUUUAUAGCUUUACAUAAACGUCACCGAGAGCUUUACGUAAGGCAGCACUCGACAGGAUUAGAGCAGUUCGGAUGAGUGUGUGAGUGAACGUACAGCACGUCGGUUUAUACUUCAAGUGCUUUUGAAUUGAUGAGGCGUGUUGUGUAACGUACGCGCGGAUAACAGCGGGACGCUCGCACUGGGAAUCCGCUCAGAGCUAUUGGCCUGGAAGGGAUAAAAGGAUAAGGGAGGACGGGGUCUGUCGUAACAUUAUCAGACGGCGCAGAUCGGAAGCGAGCUACGGUGAUCCAGAUCACUCUGCACAUGCUCAGUGGCAUCGUCGCAUAAAUUUUCCAGUUGGAGAACACUUUGAAUUGUGUGUUCGGACCAAAAUAAGCUGGAUUUAAUGACUGGGCUGUUAACGAUGAGUUAGCGCGAUUGACGGAAGCUGCGUAGCUAGAACGUCUGAUUUAAAGAUGGCCGACAGCGUGCAGAAAAAGAGCUUCCACUUGAAUAAUGGUUUCCUUUCUGGAAAACUUUGUGGCACAAGACUGAAGCUUAAACACCGGCGUGUAUUAUCAGCUGUGAGGGGUGUAUACUGUGUAAGCAUCAGCAUCAUCCAACGCGCCCAACGCUUGUGCACUCACUUUAAUAUACACUUUAGCGUAGAUAAUACUUCAUCUGGUGCGAACAUCACAAAACUACAAUUAUGUGUACAGUACGCCUCCAACUGAUCAGACGUCAUGUUACUUUAGUCAGUCCUUUAUUUCAGUUUUAUUCACUGAAAAUUAACAUUAUUUAAACUAUUGCUUUAUGGUGAAUAGUUAUACUCAGAUCUGAUUGGUUAACCAGAAUGUGCUGAAUCAGAAUGUGUAAUCAAAAGUUAAUAUUAAAUGGAUUUUUAAAAACAUGGGUUUUUUUAAAUAAAGGGGGGGGAUGUAUAAUUGUUAAUAUGACAUUCUUGUUAGGAGUUAUAGAGAGAGAGAGAGAGAGAGAGAGAAAGAAAGUUGGAGAGUUAGAGAGAGAGAGAGAGAGAGAGAAAGUUGGAGAGUUAGAGAGAGAGAAAGUUGGAGAGUUAGAGAGAGAGGAGAGAGAGAGAGAAGGAGAGAGAGAAAGAAGGAGAGAGAGAGAGAAGGAGAGAGAGAGAGAAGGAGAGAGAGAGAGAGAGAGAGAGAAGGAGAGAGAGAGAGAGAGAGAGAGAGAGAGAAGGAGAGAGAGAUUGAUGACUGUUUUAUCGUCAUUAUAACGGAAGUGAGAACAGGAAUGAACUCAUCUCUCAGACGUUGCACAACAUUAAGUGGCGAUCACACUCUACUCUUUCAGCAUGUGAAAUUUCCAUUCUGAAUAUGGGCGGCAACCGGAUAUGACAUCACGGUUGGAACAUCACGGAUAUGAAAUCACGGUUGUAACAGUGACGAAAGCGUCCGCAAAGCAGAAGGCUGUGGGUUCACCCUCUCUCUCUCUUCAUGUUGACUUCAUAUUCUUUUAAAGCGGUGUUGUGUAAAAUCAGCACUUCCUGGAUUUUCAGAAGCGGUCACGCCCCGUGACGUGCCGAUCUCCUAUUGGUCACACGUCGUCAUGUGAUAUGGACUCGCAGGUCACCAAACUUCAACUUUGAACCGCAGUGAAAACACCAAACUUCUUCGCUUGAGCUUGCGUUUCUGGUCUCCAGCAUUCGCACGCGUAUGAAUGGAAGUCGAUGGAACGAGAAGUGUAGUGUGACUCGCCCCUUAAAACGAACCAUAAACCGUAGUUCAUGAAAAGAAUCCAACAUUGCACUCAGGAAAGUUACGGUGGUACAAGCGGAACAAAGCACUGUAGACUGUACUGUUAUAUGAAAAUAACACACACACACACACACACACACACACACACACACACACACGGGUGGUGUACUGCAGACUCAUUUCAAG